AUUGAACGCUGGCGGCAGGCCUAACACAUGCAAGUCGAGCGGAUGAAGAGAGCUUGCUCUUUGAUUCAGCGGCGGACGGGUGAGUAAUGCCUAGGAAUCUGCCUGAUAGUGGGGGACAACGUUUCGAAAGGAACGCUAAUACCGCAUACGUCCUACGGGAGAAAGCAGGGGACCUUCGGGCCUUGCGCUAUCAGAUGAGCCUAGGUCGGAUUAGCUAGUUGGUGAGGUAAUGGCUCACCAAGGCGACGAUCCGUAACUGGUCUGAGAGGAUGAUCAGUCACACUGGAACUGAGACACGGUCCAGACUCCUACGGGAGGCAGCAGUGGGGAAUAUUGGACAAUGGGCGAAAGCCUGAUCCAGCCAUGCCGCGUGUGUGAAGAAGGUCUUCGGAUUGUAAAGCACUUUAAGUUGGGAGGAAGGGCAUUAACCUAAUACGUUAGUGUUUUGACGUUACCGACAGAAUAAGCACCGGCUAACUUCGUGCCAGCAGCCGCGGUAAUACGAAGGGUGCAAGCGUUAAUCGGAAUUACUGGGCGUAAAGCGCGCGUAGGUGGUUUGUUAAGUUGAAUGUGAAAGCCCCGGGCUCAACCUGGGAACUGCAUCCAAAACUGGCAAGCUAGAGUAUGGCAGAGGGUGGUGGAAUUUCCUGUGUAGCGGUGAAAUGCGUAGAUAUAGGAAGGAACACCAGUGGCGAAGGCGACCACCUGGGCUAAUACUGACACUGAUGUGCGAAAGCGUGGGGAGCAAACA
rnacentral:rRNA from 1 species